UGCAAUGGCUAGACUGUCCUCUCUCCACUG
rnacentral:piRNA from 1 species